rnacentral:tmRNA from 1 species
GGCGUUGCAGGUCUGAGCGGCGCGCCCUAUAUUGGGCCUGUCCGGGGCAACCCGGACUAUGGCGAUAAACGCACCUGCAAUAGACGGCUCGGACCCGGGGGCGGUACCCGGCGGCUCCACCAAACCCCGCGGCGUUGCGCGGUCAUGGGGCCGAAACAGGAUCGACGGACGUUCAAAGAGGCCAGCUUUCGCUCGGUGAGCUACCACCGUUAUCGGUGCAAAAGUACAGUUGCCAACGACAACCGUGCUCCGGUGGCUCUGGCUGCGUAAGCAGUUCGAGUACCGAAAACUAAGCCCUUGCGCUUAGCCGCGUAAGGCGGGGUUCGCAGGCACCUGGCAACAGAAGCCUGCACU